rnacentral:rRNA from 1 species
UGCAGUCGAGCGGUAGAGAGAGCUUGCUUCUCUUGAGAGCGGCGGAAGGGUGAGUAAUGCCUAGGAAUCUGCCUGGUAGUGGGGGAUAACGUUCGGAAACGGACGCUAAUACCGCAUACGUCCUACGGGAGAAGCAGGGGACCUUCGGGCCUUGCGCUAUCAGAUGAGCCUAGGUCGGAUUAGCUAGUUGGUGAGGUAAUGGCUCACCAAGGCGACGAUCCGUAACUGGUCUGAGAGGAUGAUCAGUCACACUGGAACUGAGACACGGUCCAGACUCCUAC